AGGAAGAGAAAGAAAAAUCGAUUUCCUGAGUAGCGGCGAGCGAAACGGAAAGAGCCCAAACCAAGAAGCUUGCUUCUUGGGGUUGUAGGACACUCUAUACGGAGUUACAAAAGAAAGUUAUAAAUGAAGCGGUCUGGAAAGGCCCGCCAAAGACGGUAACAGCCCGGUAGUUGAAAUGGCUUUCCCUCCAGAGUGGAUCCUGAGUACGGCGGAACACGUGAAAUUCCGUCGGAAUCCGGGAGGACCAUCUCCCAAGGCUAAAUACUCCCUAGUGACCGAUAGUGAACCAGUACCGUGAGGGAAAGGUGAAAAGCACCCCGGAAGGGGAGUGAAACAGUUCCUGAAACCGUGUGCCUACAAGUAGUUAGAGCCCGUUAAUGGGUGAUAGCGUGCCUUUUGUAGAAUGAACCGGCGAGUUACGAUUUGUUGCAAGGUUAAGCGGAAAAAGCGGAGCCGUAGCGAAAGCGAGUCUGAAUAGGGCGCAUAAGUAACAGGUCGUAGACCCGAAACCAGGUGAUCUACCCAUGUCCAGGAUGAAGGUAAGGUAAUACUUACUGGAGGUCCGAACCCACGCACGUUGAAAAGUGCGGGGAUGAGGUGUGGGUAGCGGAGAAAUUCCAAUCGAACUUGGAGAUAGCUGGUUCUCUCCGAAAUAGCUUUAGGGCUAGCCUCGAGGUAAAGAGUCAUGGAGGUAGAGCACUGUUUGGACUAGGGGCCCUUCUCGGGUUACCGAAUUCAGAUAAACUCCGAAUGCCAUGUACUUAUACUCGGGAGUCAGACUGCGAGUGAUAAGAUCCGUAGUCGAAAGGGAAACAGCCCAGACCACCAGUUAAGGUCCCCAAAUAUAUGUUAAGUGGAAAAGGAUGUGGGGUUGCUUAGACAACCAGGAUGUUGGCUUAGAAGCAGCCACCAUUGAAAGAGUGCGUAAUAGCUCACUGGUCGAGUGACCCCGCGCCGAAAAUGUACCGGGGCUAAACAUAUUACCGAAACUGUGGAUGAACCUCUUUAGAGGUUCGUGGUAGGAGAGCGUUCUAAGGGCGGUGAAGUCAGACCGGAAGGACUGGUGGAGCGCUUAGAAGUGAGAAUGCCGGUAUGAGUAGCGAAAGAAGGGUGAGAAUCCCUUCCACCGAAUAUCUAAGGUUUCCUGAGGAAGGCUCGUCCGCUCAGGGUUAGUCGGGACCUAAGCCGAGGCCGAUAGGCGUAGGCGAUGGACAACAGGUAGAGAUUCCUGUACCAGUGCUAAUUGUUUAACCGAUGGGGUGACACAGAAGGAUAGGGAAUCGCACGAAUGGAAAUGUGCGUCCAAGCAGUGAGUGUGAGAAGUAGGCAAAUCCGCUUCUCGCGAAG
rnacentral:rRNA from 1 species